GGGCAUAAAAAAAAAAAAAGGCAAAGUCUAGACUGCCAAUGGAAUUAACACAUGUAAAAUAUUAUGUAAUACACUCCAGUAAAAAAAAACGGCUCCUUCCAAGCAGACGAAAUUCACGGAUCCAGUCCGGGUCACGAAAAAGGACAAGAGCCACCGCACUCUCCAGUCUACACGGAUGAGGUGGUCACGGAGAAGUGCCUAGACAGAAUGCUGCAAAGAAUGCAGGCUACCAUCUCUGCAGACCGUAAGAUGCUCCGAGAGGACGUUAGAAAGGAUAUAUCUGAACUUUGGGACCGCACAAGUCAUCUUGAGCAACGCACUGAGGAGUUGUGCGAAGCCCACUAUGAAGUUGUGGACAAAGUGCAAAAGUUUACUUAAGAAAAUUCAGCGUUAAAAAACAAAAUUGCGGACAUAGAAGACGGGUUGCGGAGAGAGAACGUGAGAUUUAGGGGUAUCCCUGAAAAUAUCUUGCAAGAAGCGCUUCCUGCCUACAUCAAAGCCAUCUGCAAGGCCGUAGUCCUGGAGGCACCAGAUACUGCAUGGCAAUUUGACUGUCUGCACAGACUACCAAUACCGGCGAGAUUCACUGUGGACACCCUCAGGGAUGUGAUCGAGUAUUAUCACUAUCACUACAAGAACCUACUACUCACGGCAGCACAGAAUUCUGUGCAAUCACAAUAUCUCCUACAAAUGGGGAUAUCCCGCAAAGCUAUUGGUAUGGAAGGAAGGCAGAACACAUGUUAUGGCAGAUCCAGAUGACUGCUUUAACUGAAGGACUGGGGGGCUCUCAGCCACUUCAAGUGCCAAUCCACAGAAAGGUAUCUGCUAUGUUGUUACAUGCCUUCUUGCAUAGGGCCACCAUACAUUGCCUCCUUGCGUGCCUCUUCUAUAGCUGUUUAAUAUAGCACUGUUGGGCCCGAGCUGAGAUGCCUCCAUAGCAUGCAGAGUAUGAUA